rnacentral:pre_miRNA from 1 species
ACAACAACAUUCGGACCGUCGGUCUACCGAGCAAUAUUACCCGCUCGGUGGAAGAUCUUCCCUUUGUCGUAUAUU